AGUAAUGUAUGAGGAUCUGCCUGAUGGCGGGGGAUAACUACUGGAAACGGUAGCUAAUACCGCAUAAUGUCUGCGGACCAAAGCGGGGGACCUCCGGGCCUCGCGCCAUCAGAUGAACCCAUAUGGGAUUAGCUAGUAGGUGGGGUAACGGCUCACCUAGGCGACGAUCCCUAGCUGGUCUGAGAGGAUGACCAGCCACACUGGAACUGAGACACGGUCCAG
rnacentral:rRNA from 1 species